AUCAUAGUGCCAUAGGAAAAGUACUAGUUUUGAAGACAGAAGAUGUAGGUUCAAAUCCUGCCUCUGAUA
rnacentral:tRNA from 1 species